rnacentral:rRNA from 1 species
GAUGAACGCUGGCGGCGUGCCUAAUACAUGCAAGUCGAGCGAACGGACGAGAAGCUUGCUUUUCUGAUGUUAGCGGCGGACGGGUGAGUAACACGUGGAUAACCUACCUAUAAGACUGGGAUAACUUCGGGAAACCGGAGCUAAUACCGGAUAAUAUUUUGAACCGCAUGGUUCAAAAGUGAAAGACGGUCUUGCUGUCACUUAUAGAUGGAUCCGCGCUGCAUUAGCUAGUUGGUAGGGUAACGGCUUACCAAGGCAACGAUGCAUAGCCGACCUGAGAGGGGGAUAGGCAACACGGGAACUGAGAAACGGUCCAGACUCCGACGGGAGGCAGCAGGAGGGAAUCUUCCGCAAGGGGCGAAAGCCUGAAGGAGCAACGCCGCGGGAGUGAUGAAGGUCUUCGGAUCGUAAAACUCUGUUAUUAGGGAAGAACAUAUGUGUAAGUAACUGUGCACAUCUUGACGGAACCAAAGCAGAAAGCCACGGCUAACUACGU